rnacentral:miRNA from 1 species
UACUGGCCUACUAAGUCCCAACUU